CGCGCAGUCAUAACAUCAUCUUAAUACACGCAUUAUCCCGUGAUCAUUGCUGCGCAGAACACACGGCACAAACCGGUUCGGGAGACGACGUCGCCUAUCGCACAAGCACUCGUCUGUACAUAGAAGACAAGAACGUUGAAGGCUCACGCAAGAUGUUGUCAACGAUGAAAUUCACAUGCCUAUGUUUCCUUGUGCUUGCUUCAUUGGCCAUAACAGACGCGCUCCCCGCACCAAGAAGAAACGAAAACAGAUCAGAAAAAGGCAUCUUUGGACGAGAGACAAUUUUUCUGUCUUGUCGGAACGUAUAUUAUAACUGUUUAAACACAAGCAACUCAAAUCGCUGUAUGGAGGAUUUUAACCAGUGUAUUCGGGGCUAAUCAUGAUGACAUAGAGAAGCAGAAACGUUUCAAAUAGACUAAAAUAUAUAUUAUAAACAAUGUAAAUCUUAAUAAAUUGUUAAUAUAUGUUGUUAUGUGCCAAGGAAUGGACCUUGAG